rnacentral:tRNA from 1 species
AGCUCCUUAGUUCAACGGAUAGAACAAAAGUUUCCUAAACUUUAGAUACAGGUUCGAUUCCUGUAGGAGCUACAA